UAGGGAAUCUUCCACAAUGGACGCAAGUCUGAUGGAGCAACGCCGCGUGAGUGAAGAAGGUUUUCGGAUCGUAAAGCUCUGUUGUUGGUGAAGAAGGAUAGAGGCAGUAACUGGUCUUUAUUUGACGGUAAUCAACCAGAAAGUCACGGCUAACUACGUGCCAGCAGCCGCGGUAAUACGUAGGUGGCAAGCGUUGUCCGGAUUUAUUGGGCGUAAAGCGAGCGCAGGCGGAAUGAUAAGUCUGAUGUGAAAGCCCACGGCUCAACCGUGGAACUGCAUCGGAAACUGUCAUUCUUGAGUGCAGAUGAGGAGAGUGGAAUUCCAUGUGUAGCGGUGGAAUGCGUAGAUAUAUGGAAGAACACCAGUGGCGAAGGCGGCUCUCUGGUCUGCAACUGACGCUGAGGCUCGAAAGCAUGGGUAGCGAACAGG
rnacentral:rRNA from 1 species